UGGAAGGGCCAUCGCUCAACGGAUAAAAGGUACUCCGGGGAUAACAGGCUGAUACCGCCCAAGAGUUCAUAUCGACGGCGGUGUUUGGCACCUCGAUGUCGGCUCAUCACAUCCUGGGGCUGAAGUAGGUCCCAAGGGUAUGGCUGUUCGCCAUUUAAAGUGGUACGCGAGCUGGGUUUAGAACGUCGUGAGACAGUUCGGUCCCUAUCUGCCGUGGGCGCUGGAGAACUGAGGGGGGCUGCUCCUAGUACGAGAGGACCGGAGUGGACGCAUCACUGGUGUUCGGGUUGUCAUGCCAAU
rnacentral:rRNA from 1 species